AGAUUGAACGCUGGCGGCAUGCCUUACACAUGCAAGUCGAACGGCAGCACGGGAGCAAUCCUGGUGGCGAGUGGCGAACGGGUGAGUAAUACAUCGGAACGUGCCCAAUCGUGGGGGAUAACGCAGCGAAAGCUGUGCUAAUACCGCAUAAGAUCUACGGAUGAAAGCAGGGGAUCGCAAGACCUUGCGCGAAUGGGGCGGCCGAUGGCAGAUUAGGUAGUUGGUGAGGUAAAGGCUCGGCCAAGCCUUCGAUCUGUAGCUGGUCUGAGACGGACACCGAGACCGACGACUGGGACUGAGACCACGGCCCAGACUCCGACGGAGGCAGCAGGUGGGGUAAUUUGGAACUAAGUGGGACGAAAGACCUGAUCCGAAGCCAUGGCCGCGUGCAGGAUGAAGGCCGUUAGGUUGUAAACGU
rnacentral:rRNA from 1 species